rnacentral:lncRNA from 1 species
CCUCCAUCAGUUUAUCCAAGGCACAGCAGAGCUCCGUGGUGACACCUCACCACAUCUCAGGCAUCCGGGCUGUCUCCCGACCUCCCCACGGGCCACACUCAUAGUUCCUUGUCUUGUGCAGUUGUGAAUCUAUGUCAAACAAAAGACUGUCCUUAAAAUAUGAGCUGUGGGUCAGCUUGCUGUUUCUUUAGACUGUUGAUUUCUGAUGUUUCCAUGUAAUACUUGUGUGCCUACUGUAUGCCAGGCACUGUGCAGAGCCCUGGAAGUACCUCAGGUCCCAGACAGAUGAGGCCCCUGCCUUCCUGGAGCUUUUAUCCAUUCUCCUGACCCAGUGCCUAGGUUACCUGUGCCCACCUCCCUCAAAGGCCAGCUUCAGUGCCAUCUCCUUCAGGGACCCUUCCAUGGUUCCUCCUCCUGUUGCCCCUUCUCAACCCUAACAGGAUAUCAAUGGGUUCUGAACCAGAGUUUGCCUCUGAGAAAAAUCUGGAUUUUGAAGAAUGAAUGAUCCUGCCUAAAACGCAUCAUCUGUUUCUGGAAUCUUCACUAAUCUGUGUCUUGGGCGAAGGAAGGAACGGGACAGCAGUGAGACGGGCGUGUGCUGUCUAGUCCCAGCGUCGGAAGCACUUGGUGGGAAACCGCUGCCAACUCUGCUCCUGUAAUCACAGGGUUCACCUGCAGCAGGGAAUGGCG